rnacentral:tRNA from 1 species
GGGGAUGGAGCUCAGUUGGUAGGGCGCUUGCCUAGCAUGCAAAAGGCCCCAGGUUCAAUCCCCAGCACCACCC